CUGGGAUUACAGGCAUGAGAUACCAGUAACCAGCAGUUACAAUCAGUCUUUUAGAAGGAUGAGGCUUUAGUAGUAAAAAAAUCUAGAUGGGAAAAAAUGAUAGGAAUUGAUUCAAUUAAUUUUCACUAGAGACGAUAGAGCCCCAAAUCCCAGGAGAGAUGUCAAGAAGCCUGGAAACAAUUUGGAAUUGUUAAAGAGAAAAACAUUU